UCCGGUUUGUCACCGGCAGUCAUCUUCGAGUGCCCAUCCGAAAUGCUGGCAACGAAGAUCAAGGGUUGCGCUCGUUGCGGGACUUAACCCAACAUCUCACGACACGAGCUGACGACAACCAUGCACCACCUGUCUCCCCUGUCCCGAAGGAAGCGCCUAUCUCUAGACGUUUCAGGGGGAUGUCAAGACCUGGUAAGGUUCUUCGCGUUGCUUCGAAUUAAACCACAUACUCCACUGCUUGUGCGGGUCCCCGUCAAUUCCUUUGAGUUUCAGUCUUGCGACCGUACUCCCCAGGCGGUAUGCUUACUGUGUUAACUUCGGCACCAAGGGCGUGGAAGCCCCUAACACCUAGCAUACAUCGUUUACGGCGUGGACUAC
rnacentral:misc_RNA from 1 species